rnacentral:rRNA from 1 species
GACGGAGGGUGCUAGCGUUGUUCGGAAUUACUGGGCGUAAAGGGCGCGUAGGCGGUGUGUCAAGUCAGGCGUGAAAGCCCCGGGCUCAACCUGGGAACAGCGCUUGAGACUGGCACGCUCGAGUUCGGGAGAGGAUGGUGGAAUUCCCAGUGUAGAGGUGAAAUUCGUAGAUAUUGGGAAGAACACCGAUGGCGAAGGCAGCCAUCUGGACCGACACUGACGCUGAGGCGCGAAAGCGUGGGGAGCAAACAGG